CCUACGGGUGGCAGCAGUGAGGAAUAUUGGUCAAUGGUCGGGAGACUGAACCAGCCAAGCCGCGUGAGGGAUGAAGGUACAGAGUAUCGUAAACCUCUUUUGUCAGGGAACAAAGGCGGGGACGUGUCCCCGGAUGAGUGUACCUGAAGAAAAAGCAUCGGCUAACUCCGUGCCAGCAGCCGCGGUAAUACGGAGGAUGCGAGCGUGAUCCGGAUGUAUUGGGUUUAAAGGGUGCGCAGGCGGUCUGUUUAGUCAGCGGUAAACGCCCGGGGCUCAACCCCGGCCCGCCGUGGAGACUGGCAGUCUCGAGUUGGAGAGAAGUAUGCGGAAUGCGCGGUGUAGCGGUGAAAUGCAUAGAUAUCGCGCAGAACUCCGAUUGCGAAGGCAGCAUGCCGGCUCCACACUGACGCUGAGGCACGAAAGCGUGGGUAUCGAACAGGAUUAGAUACCCCUGUAGUC
rnacentral:rRNA from 1 species